rnacentral:lncRNA from 1 species
GUAAUUGUGAAGGGUGAUAGAUGUAUAGUGUGUUCUGAUUGUAACAGGUCUUAGUUGUAGACCUAUCGGACAUAGGUGACGAUUCUUGCUCCAAACCCUCGCAUCUCCAUACAGUAUCACCAGGAUUUCAUAACGAAGACCGAUUAUAUCUGAACAGAAUGACUGCCUGGUUGAUAAUGUGGACAGCAUGCAUGAUAAUUGCUACAGAAGCCGUUCCAUGCCAUUACACCCAUCACUGUUCAGACUGUGACAGAGAGACGGGGGAUUGCCUCACUGAGUGUGAUACUGGGUAUUACGAUCGGCACUGCAGAUCUGCCUGCAGCAAGACCUGUAGGAAUAACAAAUGCGUGAUCUCAGAACAUGGUAGUGAUAACUGCACUGAGGGUUGUAUGCCAGGAUAUUCUGGCAUUGACUGCAACAUACCAUGUGACAGUCCAGGAGGUAACUGUACGGCAUGUCCAGGUGGUUGUGAUGGAGGAUAUUGUCAGCUGGGGUCAUCCUGUGUGUCUGGAUGUGUAGACUCCUACUACGGGACUGACUGUGAUACUGGAGGAGAUCGA